AUUGAACGCUGGCGGCAGGCCUAACACAUGCAAGUCGAGCGAGCGGCGGACGGGUGAGUAAUGUAUGGGGACUGCCCGUUUGCGGGGGAUAACAACUGGAAACGGUAGCUAAUACCCCAUACUACCGGAUAAACCAUAUGGGAUUAGCUAGUAGGUGAGGUAAUGGCUCACCUAGGCGACGCUCCCUAGCUGGUCUGAGAGGAUGAUCAGCCACACUGGGAAGGAGACACGGCCCAGACUCCUACGGAGGCAGCAGUGGGGAAUGUUGGACAAUGGGCGAAACCCUGAUGCAGCCAUGCCGCGUGUAUGAUGAAGGCCUUCGGGUUGUAAAGUACUUUUGGCAGAGAAGCGUUAUCUGCAGAAUAAGCACCGGCUAACUACGUGACAGCAGCCGCGGUAAUAC
rnacentral:rRNA from 1 species